rnacentral:rRNA from 1 species
UUCCUACGGGGGGCAGCAGUGGGGGAUAUUGCACAAUGGGGGGAACCCUGAUGCAGCGACGCCGCGUGGGCGAUGGAGUGCUUCGGCAUGUAAAGCCCUAUCAGCAGGGAAGAAAAUGACGGUACCUGACUAAGAAGCCCCGGCUAAAUACGUGCCAGCAGCCGCGGUAAUACGUAUGGGGCAAGCGUUAUCCGGAUUUACUGGGUGUAAAGGGAGCGUAGGCGGCCUGGCAAGCCUGAUGUGAAAUACCGGGGCCCAACCCCGGGACUGCUCUUGGAACUGCGUGGCUAGAGUGCAGGAG